rnacentral:rRNA from 1 species
AAUUUUUGACAAUGGGGGAAACCCUGAUCCAGCCAUCCCGCGCGUAUGAUGAAUGCCUUCGGGUUGUAAAGUACUCUUGGCAGAGAAGAAAAGGUACCUCCUAAUACGACGUACUGCUGACGGUAUCUGCAGAAUACGCACCGGGUAACUACGUGCCAGCAGCCGCGGUAAUAGGUAGGGUGCAAGCGUUAAUCGGAAUUACUGGGCGUAAAGCGUGUGUAGGCGGUUCGGAAAGAAAGAUGUGAAAUCCCAGGGCUCAACCUUGGAACUGCAUUUUUAACUGCCGAGCUAGAGUAUGUCAGAGGGGGUAGAAUUCCACGUGUAGCAGUGAAAUGCGUAGAUAUGUGGAGGAAUACCGAUGGCGAAGGCAGCCCCCUGGGAUAAUACUGACGCUCAGACACGAAAGCGUGGGGAGCAAACAGG